UUAAUUCAUUUACCAUCUUUUACCAAGAGAAAAAGAUGCACGAGAGGGUCGUUGCUAAACGUUUCCGAACUGGUAGGAUUGGACUGCUCUUGGAACGAUCACAGCCUUAUCACUUGUAGUCAACAGCAUGACCAAGAAAGUUCAGCAGUGUUGCUGAAACAAAGAAAUUUCCCAAGAGUUGCCGAGAAAAUUCCGCGAAGAAAAAGAGGAAGAACCCAUCAACUCUGGGAAAGAAGUGGCUCAAGAAAUUUCUACUGCCAGUAAUAUUUUGCUGGUUCUUCAGGGGAAAUUCAAAAAGUUCAGUUGAGGAAGUGGGCAUAUGAUGGCAAAUGAUGCAGUUCAAGAGGGGAUUGACAGGGUUAUUGACCAGAACAUCACUUCUGAGGACCACAUGCGUUAUUACACGUAUCCUCUUCAUCUUUCCUGCAAUGGGGUUUCUCUAAAUUUUUCUUUGAUCCUUUAAUUUGCACUGUUUUAUGUCUAUUUGAAUGAUUUCUGUAAUGGGUUUCUCUAGCUUCUGUUAUAAUCGUUUGGAUUAGCUUAGAAUCUAUUUUCCCUGCCUGGUUGGCUAGGGCUCUGAUUGUUUACCAAGAAAGGAAAAGUAGAGGAUAAUAAAAUCAAGAUUGAAUCCUUCUAAUUUUUUCCUUCUUUUUAUUUAUUUAUUUAUUUUCCUAUUUUUUUUCUCUCUUUUUACCUGGUUCAAAUGGGAUUGCUCUGAAUUUUUAUAUUAUGCCUAGCUGAAUAAGAAUAGCUUAACUGCAAUGGAUUUAUUUGCAUUUUGCCUGAUUAUUCAAUUCAGCUUUGUUAUCUGUUGUGGUUGUGAUAUGGACUUGUGUAGCCUUAAGUUAGCUGGGUAGAACAUCUGUUUCCCCAGCAACCUCCAUGAAAGUCAGCAAUUAUAUGACCAAUAUAAGAAGGUUUUUGAAGAGUACAUCAACUCCAAGAAGAUGAGCUUUAUGUUACAAGAACUAGCAAGAAGGUGGUCAAACCACAAUCGCUUGGGAGAUUCUUUCAUUAUCUUGAUAGAUACCUCACUGUCUUGAGGAGGCUUCCUUCACUCAAAGAAACUAGCUUCAGCUGCUUCUAUGAACUGGUGUUCAGCGAGGUGAAUGAUAAAGUGAGGAAUGCCAUUUUUUCUAUGGUAAGACCAUGUCUCAUUUGGAGUACAUUCAGGCUCAUAUUGACCAUGAAAGUAGUGUAUUUGUUUUUCUCAGUAUUUAAACUAUUUGAGGUUUUUGAUAGGCCUCCUAUACGUUGUGUAUAAUAGAAAAGGGAAGAGGAAUAUACUGCCACCUGGCAGUUAGUUGUAACAGCUUUAGUGUAGGUUAGGUCACAGUUGGAUACGGGCUGGGGGAUGGUUUAAAUAGGAAAAGAGGGGGAAUUACAGAGGGGGAAAUAUUGUGGAUCUGGUUGGAGAGUGAUAGCCUCUCGAAUAGCUAUCUGAGGACCAGUUGGGACUCUUGUUUCUUGAAAUUCUUGAAAUUCAAUAAUAAUUCUCCAUUAGAUACCUAUCAGUUUUCAAGUACCACAUUUCUGUAAAAUCAUCAGAUCCUUGUGAUUUGCUCAAAAUUUCCUCCAUUUUUAUAUGUAAUCUUCGUUCAUUCGGUUCUCUUGGGGUGCUUAUUUGCUUUCAUCUGUCCUGCUAGACAAUACCUUCUUGAGGUUUCUAACUUAGUGAUUUCCCCUCGAGGAAAAAAACCACCUCCAUAAGACAUACUGAACUUGGCUUGGAUUUCUUCUAUAACAAAGCAGAUAAUAAGGAUUGAGCUAAAUGCUAACCUUUGACCUAAGGUUAUUGUGAUUGGAGUUAUCCUUGCUUGUCCUGUGAUUGUUCUCUUGCUAAUUACAGUUUGAUCAUGUUGGAGAUGCGAUCUUCCAGAUUGAUCGGGAGUGGGAGAGUGAGCAGAUUGAUCAAGCCCUAGUGAAGAAUGUUAUAGACUUAUACAUGGAGAUGGGAAUGGGGUCUGUGGAAUUUUAUGAGAAAGACUUUGAACAAGCCAUGCUUGAAGAGGCCACUGCAUUCCAUUCCCAGAAAACCUCAAACUGGAUUACAAGCUAGGCCUAUGAGAAUUACAUGCUCAAGGCCCAUGGAUGCUUGAAACACGAAAGAGACAGAGUUUCUUACUACUUGCCAGGAAGAAGCCACAAGAAAUUGUUCCAGGCUGUGGAAUAUGAGUUGCUCUCUGCACAUGCUACUGAACUGCAAGAAAAGAAGGUGGGUGAUGGCAAAACUCCACCCCAACAGGUAGGUAUCAUAUAAGCCUCGUCAAAAUUUCCCUUCUUCUUCUUGGAUGUGGGAUAUCAUAGCUGCUAGCCUGCAACUGCUGCUGUUGUACUAUUGGAGAUGUUGAAAUGGAUGAUACCAGCAAACAAGGGUUCUUUGAUCAGAAAAUACAAUGCUUUCACCAUGUUGUUGCUAAAA